UACGGGGGGGGGCAAGCGUUGUUCGGAAUUACUGGGCGUAAAGGGCUCGUAGGCGGCCAACUAAGUCGGAUGUGAAAUCCCCAGGCUCAACUUGGGAACUGCAUCCGAUACUGGAUGGCUUGAGUUCGGGAGAGGGAUGCGGAAUUCCAGGUGUAGCGGUGAAAUGCGUAGAUAUCUGGAGGAACACCGGUGGCGAAGGCGGCGUCCUGGACCAAUACUGACACUGAAACGCGAAAGCCAGGGGAGCAAACGGG
rnacentral:rRNA from 1 species